GGCCCUGGACCGGGUCAAAAUUGAUGCUAUAAUGAGUAUGCAUGUUACAAAGUGUAUUUUGUAUUGUUCUUGAGUUGUUAUCCCCAAGCAUAGCUAAGGUAUUAAAUGUUGAGUACAAUCUGUAGAAGGAAGGUGCAUUUAAUGGAUAUUAAUAAAUUUAAUAAUAUUAAUAAAGGUGCUCUUUAUUAAUAUUAUUAUUAUUAUUACAGAUUCAGUGAUCCGUGAUCCAGAAAUUUCCUGGAACCACAAGGGCCCAGGCUAGGGAUAGCUGUAAAUCAGAAGCUCACUGAGCUGAGGGCCUCAAAAAAAGUGUAGAUUGAACCAGGCUGCACUAUUUGCUAUUUUAGUCAGGGCCGUGCACAAACAUUUUAAGGGGCAGUGGCCCAAACCAAAAAAAAAAAAGGGCACUAAAGGGACGGGAGGAUAUUGGGGGGUGGGGUCCUUGUUAGUACAAAUUAUUAAUUUGUUACAAAUAUACAAUUAAAAGAGAAGACAGCACCUUGACUUUGACUUUUGUAUAAUACCUUGACGAAGGCUGUACGCCAAAAUGUUGGUUAAUAUAUAAAAUUAUUAAAUAAAACACAUAUCUAUGGUGAUUCCCCAUCCCUGGAACCCGAUUUGUUGUAUGUUUGUUUCCAAUUGAAAGAAUUUUUUGGCAUAAGGUUAAUGAUGAAAGCACAUUAACCCCACCCCCACCCCAUAAAAAAAACACUUCACCAGAAAUCCCGCCCUGCUGCUAAUUUCAUUGGUUACAGUAACGGGUAGGUUUAGAGAUCAGUGGUUGGUAUAUGCGAUCUGUACUGGCACUUUUGGAUGUCCACCACAGGCUGCAGCAAGACUCUUCUUGGCUAGCCAGUAGUACCCGCCUUAAAAGUAACAACCCAGUUUUAAAAUGGAUAUACUGGAUAUAAUGUUACAAAAACAUGUUGUAUUAAGGUUUUAAUGUCAUUUUUACUUCAUUUUAGAGAUGCCAGGAAGCACACACAAAAUGUGCCCAGGGUGCAAUACCCUAAUAAGUGUUGCAUACAAGACUUGCCCACUUUGCAAACAACUGCAGCCGUACAAAGCAAAAGUUGCAGCGAAGAGAUGCAACUUUCAAAAUAAAAAAUCUGAAUGGAAGCAGUCAGUCAAGAAAAACAACAACAGGACAGUUGUUCUUAAUAGCAGCCAUGUGUUGCUUGACACACUUGCUGCACUUUAUUUCUUCCCCAUACUACUUUUGGGGAAGAAAUCCAGGGGAACCUUGGUGGCCGAUGUCAUCCUAGGAGGGGAUUAUGUUUUGGAUCCCCAUUUGCUUCAGAGGGUUAAACUUAUGUAUGAAGCUGUGCUAAAGACAAUACGUACCUGGUGGAACAUAUUUCUGGCGCUGCAAAAAAGUGUGCAGAGGUGCGUAUUUCCUACGAGACCAGGUUGGGUUUUGAGCUGCUUCAUUCUGCAUCUCUGGCUCUCUCCAUGUCUUCAGCCGUGACGCUGCCCAAAGAAGAGUAUUAAAUCCUCGUGGAUUUAUACUAUGUUUAAAAAAUAAAAUAAAAUAAAAAAUAUCACAAAAUACAGAACCCAUCAAAAGAUUUGAAACAUUACAAUUGUGUAAUGUUUUAGAAAGAUGUCUCUUUUAGGCCAUUUUACAUGCAGUUUAGUGAAUUCAUGAAACUUACUUGAUAUGCUCACAAUCUCUGACAAAAGUUUUUCCAUGCAUCGUUUAUUCUAAUGUGUUUCUGUAUGCACACAGAGGCAUAUCGUAUAGUACAGGGAAAUGACUGACCAAAAUCCAACGCGAUAAGACGGUAGAGUGCGAAAGAAAAAUUAAUAUGGCGAACGACAAUACCGGAGGCGGCAACGUUUACGAAUGUAAGUGUAACUUUUUAUUAAUAAGAACAUCUUUGUAAAGAUAUUCUGAAGCUAAAUGAUACACGUUUAUUUGUUGGCACAGUAAUUAAGUUUUAGACACUAAUUAGUGCGUUUUGCAGUUGUAUACAACAGAUGAUCAUUUGGUCGAUUUUCCUCAUAUAUGUUAGUGAACUGUUGUACAGUGUAUUUAACUUGCGUCUUUGGAAAUUAUGUAUUGAUGAAUUUUUAUUUGCUUUAGAGACGGAUGAGGAUGUUAGACGGCUAAUUUUUAAAAAGAACUCGGUUUGGUCAUCUGUUUUCUGGGCGGAGAAUAUUUGAGUUUUAGGAAUUUUUCUUCUCAUAAAUGAAUACAGUUGAGGUUUUAUUAAUGUACAUUUAUUACUGUGUAAAUCAUUAGGUGUACUACAGAACAGUACUGAAGGAGAAGGGCCUGCUGGGUGUGGUAUCCCUUUCUAGAGCUGCCAAAAAGUGGGAAAACCUAAAAAAAAAAAAAACAUACAAGGCAAGAUAUUUAUACAGAUUUGCUUUAGACCCUUUGCAUAAUCUAAAAAUAUUUUUUAAUAAAUCAUGAAUUGUACAUUUGUAAAUGUGAACAGACACCAAAAAAAAUUAAGUUUUAUCCCUGAAUUUGAUACAUAUAAGCAGUGAUGGGAAUAACGGCGUUAUAAAUAAACGGCGUUACUAACG